GACGAACGCUGGCGGCGUGCUUAACACAUGCAAGUCGAACGGAAAGGCCCUGCUUUUGUGGGGUGCUCGAGUGGCGAACGGGUGAGUAACACGUGAGUAACCUGCCCUUGACUUUGGGAUAACUUCAGGAAACUGGGGCUAAUACCGGAUAGGAGCUCCUGCUGCAUGGUGGGGGUUGGAAAGUUUCGGCGGUUGGGGAUGGACUCGCGGCUUAUCAGCUUGUUGGUGGGGUAGUGGCUUACCAAGGCUUUGACGGUAGCCGGCCUGAGAGGGUGACCGGCCACAUUGGGACUGAGAUACGGCCCAGACUCCUACGGGAGGCAGCAGUGGGGAAUAUUGCACAGUGGGCGGAAGCCUGAUGCAGCAACGCCGCGUGCGGGAUGACGGCCUUCGGGUUGUAAACCGCUUUCGCCUGUGACGAAGCGUGAGUGACGGUAAUGGGUAAAGAAGCACCGGCUAACUACGUG
rnacentral:rRNA from 1 species